GCUCCGCCCAUGACUUCACCUGCAGACUUCGCCCGGACUCCUACGGGAGCCGGGCUCCGCCCACGACUUCACUUAUAGGUAAACUUUGUUCGGACUCCUACGGGAGCCGGACUUCACCCACAACUCCAAUUGCAGGUAGACUUUGUCCGGACUCCUACGGGAGCCAAACUUCGCCCCCAACUCCAAUUGCAGGAAGACUCAGCCC
rnacentral:lncRNA from 1 species